AGUGAACGCUGGCGGCAUGCCUAACACAUGCAAGUCGAACGAACACACGAUAAGCUUUUUCCUCUACCGGUAGCGGGGGACGGGUGAGUAACGCGUACAUCACCUUCCUCUAUUACGGGGGUGACUUCGUGAAACCAGUUCCAAUACUACCUCAUACAUUCUACCGCAUAGAUCAGGAGUUCUUGGCGCCUUUCCUGUCUCUAUGAGACGAUUCCGCGCCGGAUUAGCUAGUUGGUAAGGUAACGGCUUACCAAGGCAACGAUGCGUAGCCGACCUGAGAGGGUGAUCGGCCACACUGGAACUGAGACACGGUCCAGACUCCUACGGGAGGCAGCAGUAGGGAAUAUUCCGCAAUGGGCGAAAGCUUGACGGAGCAAUGCCGCGUGAGUGAUGAAGGUCUUCGGAUCGUAAAACUCUGUUAUUGGGGAAGAACAAAUGUGUAUGAAACUACGGCCGUUCUGACGGUACCUAAAGAGAAAGCAACGGCUAACUACGUG
rnacentral:rRNA from 1 species